GAUGAACGCUGGCGGCGUGCCUAAUACAUGCAAGUCGAGCGAAUGGAUUGAGAGCUUGCUCUUAUGAAGUUAGCGGCGGACGGGUGAGUAACACGUGGGUAACCUGCCCAUAAGACUGGGAUAACUCCGGGAAACCGGGGCUAAUACCGGACAACAUUUUGAACCGCAGGGUUCGAAAUUGAAAGGCGGCUUCGGCUGUCACUUAUGGAUGGACCCGCGUCGCAUUAGCUAGUUGGUGAGGUAACGGCUCACCAAGGCAACGAUGCGUAGCCGACCUGAGAGGGUGAUCGGCCACACUGGGACUGAGACACGGCCCAGACUCCUACGGGAGGCAGCAGUAGGGAAUCUUCCGCAAUGGACGAAAGUCUGACGGAGCAACGCCGCGUGAGUGAUGAAGGCUUUCGGGUCGUAAAACUCUGUUGUUAGGGAAGAACAAGUGCUAGUUGAAUAAGCUGGCACCUUGACGGUACCUAACCAGAAAGCCACGGCUAACUACGUGCCAGCCGCCGCAGUAA
rnacentral:rRNA from 1 species